UAGUUUACCUGACAUGUUAGUUUCCGAUAACACUCCCAACAAGUGCAUGAAGAUGAUGUAUCCCGCUCACAUACUGGCACUUUGUAUUGUAAUUGUUAAUGUAUGCUGUUAUGAAAAACAUCAGAAACUAAUACCUAACGGAAAUAAUGUACCAAAUCCAUGUUCAAAAAACCAGAAGAGUAUUUGGAGAGCAGUAGGACAUUUUAAUCCCGACCAUGGAGGUGUAGAUAUAAAUUCCUUUGGAAAGGAUUUUAUGCUAUAUAACAAGACUUGGACUACAGAAUUAUGCCUUAUUGAUUCGGAUGGUGAUGGUAAGAUUAAUGGAGAAGAGCUAGGAGAUCCAAGCUGUGAUUGGACCCCAGGAAAAAAACCCAAAGGACCAGCAACAGAUCAUCCAGGUAUUUGUGAACCAGUUGACAGUGACAUGUGCAAACGACGUAAUCAAGGAUUUAAGCAAUGUCCGAAGUGAGCACCACCUAAUGUUCAGCCUGAUUUUCAGCCUUUGUUGCUUGUUAAAGUAUUUUAUAAACAUGAAGCAUUUUCUUGCAUCUCAACUUUCCUUGCUCUACUCAAAUAUGUGCUUCGCCGACUAUGAAUUGGAUAACUUGGAUCUAGUACUUUCAAAAGGAGAUGAUGGGUUAGGUCAAGUUUGUCUUGCCAAAAACAACUUUAAAGUUCACUUUAGACGAUUAUAUGAACUACGUUGAAUUAUUGUGUCAUUUUCAAUUUUUUAUCACCUUACAUUGAAACAAAAUGUUUCUAAAAAGCCUUAAGUUUA